rnacentral:lncRNA from 1 species
GCUGCUAAGCCGAGAAGGAGUCAGUCAGAGAGCCUUGGGACACAGUUCCAGGGGCUCUGGGAGUGGCUACCAGGUGAGUUGAACAGUCCGAUUUCCAGUGGGGUCUCGCACAGAUGGGACACGGCUUAGGAGGAAUCCUGGGCUGCAGGCAUUCAUUGGCCUGGUGGUCAGAUUUCUGGCACUUACAGUUCCAGGGGCUCUGGGAGUGGCUACCAGGUGAGUUGAACAGUCCGAUUUCCAGUGGGGUCUCGCACAGAUGGGACACGGCUUAGGAGGAAUCCUGGGCUGCAGGCAUUCAUUGGCCUGGUGGUCAGAUUUCUGGCACUUGUAGCAAGCUCCUGGGGGAGGAGGUUCUGGAGGAAUGCCU